GAGUCUACGGUGCGCUGUGUGAGACAAACGUUUUAAGAAAAGCGGCGAAUCGAGAGAGGAUAGUAGAGCCCUGGAUUGGGAGGUGUUCUGAUCUCAUGUUUGACUCCGAAAUGACACCCUGCUGGAAAACAGACUCGAGAUGCAUCUACACCACUUGUCAUGAGUUGCUGCACUUCAAAAUAUAAGCCAUGUUGCAAGUGGUAAGAAAAAAGGAAGAAAAAAGGAUGGAGAAUUAAAGAACAACUGAAAGAGGUUUCAUAGAAUCAUAGAAUCAUAGAGUUGGAAGAGACCACAUGGGCCAUUGAGUCGACUUUGGAAGAAAAGAGGAAGAAAAUGGAAAGCCACUGCUCCAUCUGCUAUUGGUAUCCACAGCACAUAUUAGCAACAUGCUCAAAAUUCCCACUGUAACAAGAUGGAUAAGGAACAUGGGCAACCCAUUUUGUUCCAAUCUUGGAAUCUUCAAUCCUGGGAAAGAGAAAAAUCAGCAGAGGGAUGAAGAAAGGGCCAAUUUUCUCCCAGUUAUGUGUUUAAGGUGCUUAAGGAAUUUUCAGAGCCCUAAGCACCUGCAUGUGAUGUUGUUUUGUUGUUUGUCUUUCUAAGUUGCAAAAUAUUAUUCAUAUCCUCAGAGCUCUAUGCUUAAGCUUUUGACUGGCAGGCAUCAAGUAGAUGCUACUUUUUCCGAACUUUCAAGAUGGUGUGUGUGCAUACAUGCCCACAUUUGCAAGAUACAUACACAUUUAUAUCCCCUUUUACAUUCAGCAGCUGAACCAAAUUUCACAAAGCAAAGCCAAAGAAUGGCUAAAAGGUUAGGAUAGAUGGACUGUUUCCAAAUUGGAAUACUAAUGAUGAUCUUUAAUGAAGCCUGACAGUACAAUCUGUUUCUUAUUGUUCCCUAAGUGCUGGCUACUGAUCACGUUCACUUGUGUGAGGUGAUGGGGAGAGCUGGGAACGAGUGGCCCCCGCUGGCAGGCAGGACGGAGAACAGCUGAUCUUUCAGCAAGGAUUAAAUUCAUUAAAAUGAUUCCUGCAUCUGAAGAAUCAAUCUUUUUAUUUGUUAUCAUCAUACUGUUUAUUAAUAUUGAAUGGUGGCUAAUUGGUGGCACUGCUGUUUGGGUCAUCUGGCUGUGUAAUCUUCUUACUGAAAACAGUCACCAGUGCCCAAUUCAAGUAGGGAAUUGGGAGAAGAGAUUUCCCUCAACUUCAUGAUUAUGGAAAGAAGUGGUGAGAGAAGAAUUAGUUUACAGCUCCCAGAUAGGGCAAACAUUGGUAGCAAUGUAUUCCGUGCACUAACAACAAGCAACAUCUCUGUAAUUUCCACUUUAAAAUCCUCUAUGUUUUAUCAUUCUGUUUAAUUUCUAAGCCAAGUAGACCAAAGGUACAUAUAUUUUAUUAAUAAAUAACUGAGUGCUUGCUACAGAUUCCACACUAUAGAAUGCUAAUUUGCCUUAUACACGAUGAUGUAUUAAGGGUGAAGUAUUGUUAGGGAGGAUAAACUUAAGAAAAGAAGAUUAAAAAUUCCCCCAAUGAUUUGUUAUUGUCCUUGGCAGAUAUUGGAUUAUGCAAAAAAGGGAGAAAACUGAAUUAUUUAUUUUGGCAAAUUAAAGCAAUAGUAGUGGGGUGUUCCAUGUCUCCUGAAGAAGUGAUUUUUUAUGAGGGCAGUUUUGAAGAAACUGUGGUAAUUUUAAGUGCACUUGCUGAAAAGUACAUUCAUUUUAAUGCACUGGGAUUUACUUCUGUGUAGAAUGCUGAAGAUUAGCCUAAAUUGUGUGCAGAUAUAUGAAAGUCAGUGACAAAGUGAUGGAAAUUGUGUUAAGAAGUAAUACUUUUAAAAAUAUAUGUGUUACGUUUACAUUGAAUUGUGCAUUUACUCAAUGUUAUGUUGGUCUUUAAAUUUAUGUUAAAAUACUAUCAACUUUAUCAGAAU